rnacentral:rRNA from 3 species
GGGUUGUGAGGUUAAGCGACUAAGCGUACACGGUGGAUGCCCUGGCAGUCAGAGGCGAUGAAGGACGUGCUAAUCUGCGAAAAGCGUCGGUAAGGUGAUAUGAACCGUUACAGCCGGCGAUGUCCGAAUGGGGAAACCCAGUGCAAUUCGUUGCACUAUCGUUAACUGAAUACAUAGGUUAACGAGGCGAACCGGGGGAACUGAAACAUCUAAGUACCCCGAGGAAAAGA